rnacentral:rRNA from 1 species
GGUCAAGCAAGAAAGAGCAAAGGGAGAAUGCCUUGGCGCCAGGGGCCGAUGAAGGACGCAGCAAGCUGCGAAAAUCCGCGGGGAGGAGC